rnacentral:rRNA from 1 species
UAGGGAAUCUUCCGCAAUGGACGCAAGUCUGACGGAGCAACGCCGCGUGAGUGAAGAAGGAUUUCGGUUCGUAAAACUCUGUUGUUAGAGAAGAACAGCGCAUAGAGUAACUGUUAUGCGUGUGACGGUAUCUAACCAGAAAGCCACGGCUAACUACGUGCCAGCAGCCGCGGUAAUACGUAGGUGGCAAGCGUUGUCCGGAUUUAUUGGGCGUAAAGCGAGCGCAGGCGGUCAAUUAAGUCUGAUGUGAAAGCCCCCGGCUCAACCGGGGAGGGUCAUUGGAAUCUGGUUGACUUGAGUGCAGAAGAGGAGAGUGGAAUUCCAUGUGUAGCGGUGAAAUGCGUAGAUAUAUGGAGGAACACCGGUGGCGAAAGCGGCUCUCUGGUCUGUAACUGACGCUGAGGCUCGAAAGCGUGGGGAGCGAACAGG